AGUUUGAUCCUGGCUCAGGACGAACGCUGGCGGCGUGCUUAACACAUGCAAGUCGAACGAUGAACCGCUUUCGGGCGGGGAUUAGUGGCGAACGGGUGAGUAACACGUGGGCAAUCUGCCCUGCACUCUGGGACAAGCCCUGGAAACGGGGUCUAAUACCGGAUAUGACUGUCCAUCGCAUGGUGGAUGGUGUAAAGCUCCGGCGGUGCAGGAUGAGCCCGCGGCCUAUCAGCUUGUUGGUGAGGUAGUGGCUCACCAAGGCGACGACGGGUAGCCGGCCUGAGAGGGCGACCGGCCACACUGGGACUGAGACACGGCCCAGACUCUUACGGGAGGCAGCAGUGGGGAAUAUUGCACAAUGGGC
rnacentral:rRNA from 1 species